AUUGAACGCUGGCGGCAGGCCUAACACAUGCAAGUCGAGCGGAUGAAGGGAGCUUGCUCCUGGAUUCAGCGGCGGACGGGUGAGUAAUGCCUAGGAAUCUGCCUGGUCGUGGGGGAUAACGUCCGGAAACGGGCGCUAAUACCGCAUACGUCCUGAGGGAGAAAGUGGGGGAUCUUCGGACCUCACGCUAUUAGCUGAGCCUAGGUCGGAUUAGCUAGUUGGUGGGGUAAAGGCCUACCAAGGCGACGAUCCGUAACUGGUCUGAGAGGAUGAUCAGUCACACUGGAACUGAGACACGGUCCAGACUCCUACGGGAGGCAGCAGUGGGGAAUAUUGGACAAUGGGCGAAAGCCUGAUCCAGCCAUGCCGCGUGUGUGAAGAAGGUCUUCGGAUCGUAAAGCACUGUUAGUUGGGAGGAAGGGCAGUAAGUUAAUACCUUGCUGUUUUGACGUUACCAACAGAAUAAGCACCGGCUAACUUCGUG
rnacentral:rRNA from 1 species